rnacentral:rRNA from 1 species
UACGUAGGGUGCAAGCGUUAAUCGGAAUUACUGGGCGUAAAGCGUGCGCAGGCCGCCAUGUAAGACAGAUGUGAAAUCCCCAGGCUUAACCUGGGAACUGCGUCGGAUACUGGCGGGCUUGAAUCCGGGAGAGGGAUGCGGAAUUCCAGGUGUAGCGGUGAAAUGCGUAGAUAUCGGAAGGAACAUCAGUGGCGAAAGCGGCUUCCUGGACCAGCACCGACGUUCAGGCACGAAAGCGUGGGGAGCAAACAGG